rnacentral:misc_RNA from 1 species
GAUGAAGAACGCAGCGAAAUGCGAUAAGUAGUGUGAAUUGCAGAAUUCAGUGAAUCAUCGAAUCUUUGAACGCACAUUGCGCCCCUUGGUAUCCCGAGGGGCAUGCCUGUUCGAGCGUCAUUUCACCACUCAAGCCUGGCUUGGUGUUGGGCGACGUCCUCUUUGGGGACGCGCCUCGAAACGCUCGGCGGCGUGGCACCUGCUUUAAGCGUAGCAGAAUCUUUCGCUUUGGAAGUCGGGGCCCCGUCUGCCGGAAGACCUGCUCGCAAGGUUGACCUCGGAUCAGGCAGGGAUACCCGCUGAACUUAAGCAUAUCAAUAAGCGGAGGA